rnacentral:rRNA from 1 species
GUGUGAGAUCAUACCAGCACUAAAGAAUCAGAUCCCAUCAGAACUUCGAAGUUAAGUGUGCUUGGGCAAGAGUAGUACUAGGAUGGGUGACCCCCUGGGAAGCCCUCGUGUUGCACUCC